GCGCUUUCCUCAGCAACAAGUCUACACAUCUGCUCUCCGCGCCUCGGAAAUCUUGCUAAGGAACAUCGACUACCUCCACUUCGCGGCUAAGCGGGAGCGAGCUGAACGGUCUCUCUUGAAAAUCCUGCACCUACGCCAAAGAGUUCAAACAUUGGAGGUAAGUGUCAUUCAUGUUUUAUUAUAUAUAUUAUAUUAUUGUGCAAACAUUGAAAAGGGGCUGUUAUAUUAUGACAAAAAACAAGUGUUGAUUAUUACCUCAAUAUUGUAAUAGCAAUUAUUAUUGUUGAUUAAUUGAUUUUACAUUGAAUUUUAAAAAUGUUGUACUUAAUGAUG